CCUCCCUGGCGAUGGGCAAAAAGACACUCUGUUGGUGGUGGUGUUCCUAUGUCAGUCAGGGGCAGAGCAGUCGGCAGUCCUUUGUUCAUCGUAGCUUGAUACCUACCUUAGUGCCCAAAACUGUUGUAUGCCUAGAACAUAUAA
ensembl:snoRNA LOC120095436 small nucleolar RNA SNORA48